CCUGUCCCCAGAGGCCUUGCAGGUGUGGCUGCUGUUUCACGCGUGCAUCAGUAGGUGGCAGAGAGGAGAGAGGCUCUGUCUAAGUUCAACGUUCUGACUUGUGAACAUCUGAAUGAUCAGUAGCCUAACGUU